rnacentral:rRNA from 1 species
GGGUUGUGAGGUUAAGCGACUAAGCGUACACGGUGGAUGCCCUGGCAGUCAGAGGCGAUGAAGGACGUGCUAAUCUGCGAUAAGCGUCGGUAAGGUGAUAUGAACCGUUAUAACCGGCGAUUUCCGAAUGGGGAAACCCAGUGUGAUUCGUCACACUAUCAUUAACUGAAUCCAUAGGUUAAUGAGGCGAACCGGGGGAACUGAAACAUCUAAGUACCCCGAGGAAAAGAAAUCAACCGAGAUUCCCCCAGUAGCGGCGAGCGAACGGGGAGCAGCCCAGAGCCUGAAUCAGUGUGUGUGUUAGUGGAAGCGUCUGGAAAGGCGCGCGAUACAGGGUGACAGCCCCGUACACAAAAAUGCACAUGCUGUGAGCUCGAUGAGUAGGGCGGGACACGUGGUAUCCUGUCUGAAUAUGGGGGGACCAUCCUCCAAGGCUAAAUACUCCUGACUGACCGAUAGUGAACCAGUACCGUGAGGGAAAGGCGAAAAGAACCCCGGCGAGGGGAGUGAAAAAGAACCUGAAACCGUGUACGUACAAGCAGUGGGAGCACGCUUAGGCGUGUGACUGCGUACCUUUUGUAUAAUGGGUCAGCGACUUAUAUUCUGUAGCAAGGUUAACCGAAUAGGGGAGCCGAAGGGAAACCGAGUCUUAACUGGGCGUUAAGUUGCAGGGUAUAGACCCGAAACCCGGUGAUCUAGCCAUGGGCAGGUUGAAGGUUGGGUAACACUAACUGGAGGACCGAACCGACUAAUGUUGAAAAAUUAGCGGAUGACUUGUGGCUGGGGGUGAAAGGCCAAUCAAACCGGGAGAUAGCUGGUUCUCCCCGAAAGCUAUUUAGGUAGCGCCUCGUGAAUUCAUCUCCGGGGGUAGAGCACUGUUUCGGCAAGGGGGUCAUCCCGACUUACCAACCCGAUGCAAACUACGAAUACCGGAGAAUGUUAUCACGGGAGACACACGGCGGGUGCUAACGUCCGUCGUGAAGAGGGAAACAACCCAGACCGCCAGCUAAGGUCCCAAAGUCAUGGUUAAGUGGGAAACGAUGUGGGAAGGCCCAGACAGCCAGGAUGUUGGCUUAGAAGCAGCCAUCAUUUAAAGAAAGCGUAAUAGCUCACUGGUCGAGUCGGCCUGCGCGGAAGAUGUAACGGGGCUAAACCAUGCACCGAAGCUGCGGCAGCGACGCUUAUGCGUUGUUGGGUAGGGGAGCGUUCUGUAAGCCUGCGAAGGUGUGCUGUGAGGCAUGCUGGAGGUAUCAGAAGUGCGAAUGCUGACAUAAGUAACGAUAAAGCGGGUGAAAAGCCCGCUCGCCGGAAGACCAAGGGUUCCUGUCCAACGUUAAUCGGGGCAGGGUGAGUCGACCCCUAAGGCGAGGCCGAAAGGCGUAGUCGAUGGGAAACAGGUUAAUAUUCCUGUACUUGGUGUUACUGCGAAGGGGGGACGGAGAAGGCUAUGUUGGCCGGGCGACGGUUGUCCCGGUUUAAGCGUGUAGGCUGGUUUUCCAGGCAAAUCCGGAAAAUCAAGGCUGAGGCGUGAUGACGAGGCACUACGGUGCUGAAGCAACAAAUGCCCUGCUUCCAGGAAAAGCCUCUAAGCAUCAGGUAACAUCAAAUCGUACCCCAAACCGACACAGGUGGUCAGGUAGAGAAUACCAAGGCGCUUGAGAGAACUCGGGUGAAGGAACUAGGCAAAAUGGUGCCGUAACUUCGGGAGAAGGCACGCUGAUAUGUAGGUGAAGCGACUUGCUCGUGGAGCUGAAAUCAGUCGAAGAUACCAGCUGGCUGCAACUGUUUAUUAAAAACACAGCACUGUGCAAACACGAAAGUGGACGUAUACGGUGUGACGCCUGCCCGGUGCCGGAAGGUUAAUUGAUGGGGUCAGCGCAAGCGAAGCUCUUGAUCGAAGCCCCGGUAAACGGCGGCCGUAACUAUAACGGUCCUAAGGUAGCGAAAUUCCUUGUCGGGUAAGUUCCGACCUGCACGAAUGGCGUAAUGAUGGCCAGGCUGUCUCCACCCGAGACUCAGUGAAAUUGAACUCGCUGUGAAGAUGCAGUGUACCCGCGGCAAGACGGAAAGACCCCGUGAACCUUUACUAUAGCUUGACACUGAACAUUGAGCCUUGAUGUGUAGGAUAGGUGGGAGGCUUUGAAGUGUGGACGCCAGUCUGCAUGGAGCCGACCUUGAAAUACCACCCUUUAAUGUUUGAUGUUCUAACGUUGACCCGUAAUCCGGGUUGCGGACAGUGUCUGGUGGGUAGUUUGACUGGGGCGGUCUCCUCCUAAAGAGUAACGGAGGAGCACGAAGGUUGGCUAAUCCUGGUCGGACAUCAGGAGGUUAGUGCAAUGGCAUAAGCCAGCUUGACUGCGAGCGUGACGGCGCGAGCAGGUGCGAAAGCAGGUCAUAGUGAUCCGGUGGUUCUGAAUGGAAGGGCCAUCGCUCAACGGAUAAAAGGUACUCCGGGGAUAACAGGCUGAUACCGCCCAAGAGUUCAUAUCGACGGCGGUGUUUGGCACCUCGAUGUCGGCUCAUCACAUCCUGGGGCUGAAGUAGGUCCCAAGGGUAUGGCUGUUCGCCAUUUAAAGUGGUACGCGAGCUGGGUUUAGAACGUCGUGAGACAGUUCGGUCCCUAUCUGCCGUGGGCGCUGGAGAACUGAGGGGGGCUGCUCCUAGUACGAGAGGACCGGAGUGGACGCAUCACUGGUGUUCGGGUUGUCAUGCCAAUGGCACUGCCCGGUAGCUAAAUGCGGAAGAGAUAAGUGCUGAAAGCAUCUAAGCACGAAACUUGCCCCGAGAUGAGUUCUCCCUGACUCCUUGAGAGUCCUGAAGGAACGUUGAAGACGACGACGUUGAUAGGCCGGGUGUGUAAGCGCAGCGAUGCGUUGAGCUAACCGGUACUAAUGAACCGUGAGGCUUAACCUUACAACGCCGAAG